UCUGCAAAAAGAGAAGGGGAAAAAGAAAAAAAAAAAACCAACCUAAAAUCCAAACAUCAAACCAACCCCUAAUAAAUAAUAAUAGAAGAAGCAAGCGCGGCAACUUGCUUUAAGCAGAGGGUGGUAGGACCAAGAAGCGCAGCCCCCCGGGGAGGGAAGGGAGGUAGCGGACGGAGGGCAAGCAGGCACCGACGGGGCUCGCAGCCCCCCGGGGGUACCGGCGGGUCCGGCGGCGGCGGACGUGAAAGUCCCCUUUAAGUUUCCAUAGAGAGGCCUCCGGGUGUCACAUGAUGGACAUGAUAUAACGAAACAACAUCGUGGGGAGGGACGGAGGGAAGCAGUGGGGGAGCCCGGGGAGGCGUCGGGGGAGGUGGCGGUGCCCCCCGACCCGCCCGCCCCGGCUGCACCUGUCUCGGCGCGCCGGGAGCGCGGUGUCCGCCCCGCUGAUGGGGCUGCGGGCGGCACCUUCCCCCGGGGAGGAGGAGAAGGAGGAGGAGAAGGAGGCGAGCCGGUGGCGGAGGUUUUCUGUGUCUGUUCCACAUCCUCCUGCUGCUGCUGCUGCUGAAGCCAACGUGGAUCCGAAUGCUGUGGCUACAAAGGCUUGUCACUGUCUCAUGCUGGGUCCCUCAAAUCCAGGAGCUACUUGGCAGUUUCCAAGGCAACCACCUGUGGAAUAAUUAAAAAGGAUGAAGUGUUAGCGUGCCACAUAUAAGGAAUUCUUGCCUGGAGAAAGCGUUUCACUUUCUUCCGUCUUGAAGAAUCAAAAGGUGCUUCUGCCAGCAAAGUUAAGAAGAAGGAGCAGUGGCUGAGUUGCACGAGUGAACCAGGACAACGCAAAAUAAAGUCAAAAAGGAACGCUCAUUUUCCUAUUUCGUAAGUCUAUUGGUUAGCUUUUCUGUAAGGCACACGUUUCAUUAUAAAGGCCAUUAGUUUUCCUCAUUUCCUGGUUUUUCAGUUGAGUUUGUAGAACUGUGUGGGUUCCCUGUUUUUGAGCCACGUGGCUCAACGUGAGUGGCACAAGGUGGAUCUUUUCUCUCCCUUUGUCAUCACCGUGCCAAGGCACAAAGGAGGUCAAGGCUGGGUUGUGUCUUAAUUACUGCUGUAGCUGUGGUGAUCCAGGGAUGUGAAGAGGAGAGAUUUGAAAGCAAGAAGGGCUGGAAAGGGAUUUUGGCCUCCAAAGGUUUGUUAGUAUUGUCUGUAAUAUCAGCUGGUAUAAGAAAAGUUUGGAUCCUACUUUGAGGCUGCUGUAUUUUGGCUGAGUAUUUUAGAAUACAUUUAAAACAUUUCCUUGGGUACUGCAAGAGUUCUUGGUUUGAUGGGGCUUGGAGCAGCCUGGUCUAGUGGAAGGUUUAGCACAAGAGUUUUUCCAUCUUGGUCAAAAGAGCAGCAUGUUCUUCAGUGGUAUUUUGCAGAGCAAGCCUUGCAGACAAUUUUUCUGAUUCACUUGUGGCACAUUUUGAAGAGAGCUGCUUCCAACUGCCUUGAGCAGAGCGUGUUCGAUGUGAUAACAACAUCUACACUGCAAUUGUAAUAACAAAACCCAAGGUGCUUUUGCUGAAUCUGGUUUCACACCAGCGAGCAAGUGGACUCGUAUAUAAGAUGAUGUGAGGUUUUCUGUGUAUUGACUCAACUCUAAAAUAUCUAUAACUCUGCAAAAUGCGUCUCAGCUUGUUUACUAAGCGAGAUGUGUAUUUUUAAUGCAUAGGUUUUGAAAUUAUUGGUGUAUUGGUGACUCCAGUUUUUCCAACAGCCUUUGUGGGGUGUUUUAGUCAAAAUUGUUUUUAACUUUUAUGGAUGCCAUUUUAAUUGAUACCCAUAUCUCUAUUUUUUUAUUUUUUUCUGUCAGAAGAGUUUUUAAGUAAUUCUGCAGAGUUGCUUUUUAUAGACACUCAAUAUUAAAAAAAAAAAAAAGCAGUAGAACAUGUGUCAGGCAUCUGCAAUUCCUUCAGCAUCAUGUUUUCCACAAUGAUUUAAUAGCUAUUGAGUCUCCUCAAAUAUCUUUGUUUCCAAGACCUAUUUUAUGGUAGUAAAUCAUCUUGGCUGUUAAAUUCUUGAAAUGAUUCAGUAGGACAGUCGUUUCCUUAGCACAUUCCCUAAGAGAUCAUAGAUAGAAAUAGAAAAGUCCUUAACCAGGUCACCUUUUUCCCUGCAAUACAUGUGGUCAAUGCUGGAAGUGAUAAUGAAGUUGCCAACAUUUGUUCUGGUGAGCUGCAGUUGUCCAGUGUUCCCUGUUCAUUUAUUGCUAAUUUACAAUGAGUUUUCUGUUGGAAGUACUAAAUUGCAUUGAGAAAUGCUGAGCCAGAUACAGACUUGUCAUUGUGUGUUGAAACUUUCCAUUUUAAAAAAGGUCUGUCUCAAAAUUCAUAUAAAAAUACCAAUGAAAUUACUCAAGACUUCCUUAAUUUCCUCUUCCAUUUGCACCUGAGGGUGGUGGUGGUGCAGUCCUUGGGGUAGAGGUUGAUUUAAUAAAUAGUAUGUGAGUGUGGUUUUGUGAUACCUGGUCUGUCAGUCUCUGCAGGGUAGUCAUGCAUUAUGUAACUCCUUGUGGCUU